ACCCUGAGAUACAUACAAUUGUAGAGUAGUGUUAAUUUGGUCAGACGAGACAAGACUAAAUAUGUUCGUCAACGAGCUCUUUUCCCAUGACGAAGACGAGACCGCACCAAUGUCCAAAAACGCUGACUAAGAC